rnacentral:rRNA from 1 species
UACGUAGGGUGCAAGCGUUAAUCGGAAUUACUGGGCGUAAAGCGUGCGCAGGCGGUUAUGUAAGACAGGUGUGAAAUCCCCGGGCUUAACCUGGGAACUGCAUUUGUGACUGCAUAGCUAGAGUACGGUAGAGGGGGAUGGAAUUCCGCGUGUAGCAGUGAAAUGCGUAGAUAUGCGGAGGAACACCGAUGGCGAAGGCAAUCCCCUGGACCUGUACUGACGCUCAUGCACGAGAGCGUGGGGAGCAAACAGG